GAGGUAUGAACCACGGCAGAAUGUCACGAUUCUGAACAUUAAUUAUUUGUGCUGCAUUCGCAAAAGACCGAAGAGCCUUCGAAGAACUUGGGAAAAUGAUGCUGCAAACAGCGUUUUGGCUGUUGUUGGGCUUGCUGUUCGUUUGGCUGUUGUUCAAUUACCUUAGCAAAAUCGUCGAUGCUUUGUGGGAGAUCUUGACGCUUUUCAUCGACACGAAACCGGUCGAUUUGCGCUCCAAGUUUGGCGAAUGGGCAGUGGUGACAGGAUCUACCGAUGGAAUAGGCAAAGCUUACGCGAAGGAAUUGGCUGCGAGGCAGAUAAAUUUGGUGCUGAUCAGCCGAACGUUGGAGAAAUUGGAAAAAACUAGAAACGAGAUUUUGCAAGAUAAUCCAAGGAUCGAAGUGAAAAUCAUCGUGGCGGAUUUCAGCAAGGGAAAAGAAAUCUUUGCGAAACUUGCCGAACAACUGAAGGACAUUCCCAUAGGAAUCUUAGUGAACAACGUGGGUAUGCAAUAUAGCUACCCGAUGUAUCUUGGGGAAGUUCCGGAGGAUCAAUUGUGGGACAUCAUCAACGUGAACAUCGGCGCCACCACGUUAAUGACACGAUUAGUUAUCGGACAAAUGCAAGAACGUAGAAGAGGAGCGAUCGUCAACGUGUCGUCUGGUUCGGAACUGGUACCGUUGCCGUUGAUGAACGUCUACGCGGCAUCAAAAAUUUACAUUAGAAGCUUUACCGUUGCCCUUAGAGCCGAAUACUCUAGAUUCGGAAUAACUAUACAACAUUUAUCUCCAUUCUUCGUGAACACGAAGAUGAACGCGUUUAGCGAUCGACUACAGGUAUCCACCCUACUUGUGCCUAACGCAGUAACUUAUGCGAAAAAUGCGAUCGUCACUCUUGGAAAAAUGGAUUCGACUACAGGAAGAUCCAUAAAAACGGUUCGGACGGAGCAUCUCUGCGCGCGCAUUCCUGAAUCACGUGACCUCGACGAUCAAAUUCUCAGUAGAAGGAGGCGCUCAUUCUUCACCCAUGCGUCGCGAAGGGAAGACGUUCGAAUUUUCUAUACGCUUCAUAUCACGGGCAAGAUGAGUCAGUAGUUCAAGGAGAGCUUGCACACGCAAGUGUGCCGACACAACUAAUUAAUCAUGAAAGCCAACAUGGCGCUCAUUUUGAGCUGCGUCGCUCAGACGACAGAAAUUUCUUUUCAUCAUUUUUUAAUUCAUCUUGAUUGGGAUCGCAUCCAUAAUGACAUCCAGUCAGGACCAGGAGAUGU